AUGGUUCGGUCAGUUUAUCUUAUCUCCACAUUGGCCUGUUUAGUCUCCUUCAAACCACUCAUGUUCCCUCUGCUUUCUCCAUUCUCAUCAAUUCUGCCUGUUCUUAUUUCCACUACAGACUUCAUCAUCACCAUCCUCCCUGUUCCCGCAGCAGUAACUGUGCUCAUUAUGGGAUGCUCUUGGGCUGGAGGAGCAGGAGGGAUUCGUUCUUUGUCCAGUGAUACUGGAGCUGCUGGUGUAAGGCAAGACACCAUUGCCGAGGAAAGCAGUGCAGAGCUCAGAUAGGAGCAAAGUCAUAACAUGUUGCACCUCCCUGAAGUGCUUCGCAGGUGAGUUUGAAGCUGAAUAGCUGGCUCCUGGGCAUGUGUUUUAAAAGAUGAGGGAUGGUUCAGCCCUGUAUUUAAAAAAGGGUUCAGAUUCUGUUUGUCACCGCUCUGGCAAGGAAGGUUACAAUGCCUUCCCAUAACUGCAGCGCUCACAGUUUACAUAAUAUGAAGCAAUAUUAGCAAAGCCAAUGUGAUGGCAAACGCUAUAAUCUUGUUGAGGUUUUAAUUUUCAUAUUUUCUGGCGCUGGAAAAUAGUCACUGAAUGACUUGGUGGGGCUGGUAGGAGGACUGCGGGACCGCAAGGACUGGAUGUUUAUUCUAAGCUAUUUGAUGUUAUAUCUGAUGUGAGUUGCCCAAGCACAAGGGAGUAUUCUGAUUGCUACCCACUAGGCAAUGAUCUUAAAAAGCCUCUCUUCCCGCAGCUGGAGAUGCCUGUUGCUUCUGGCAUAUCGCAGGAGGACUGGUUGGUGAGAGGUGUGGUGUGUAAAUGUCUGUCCUCAUGUUAUCAGUGGGGUGAAAGGCUCCUCGGAAGUUACCUGUCUCCCAGCAUGUUUAUGAGACUUAAAACACACAAGAGCCUUACAAACACCUAUUUUGUAUUUAUACAAUAUUUACACAUCAAAUUUUUCUAAACAUUUGUCCUUUUCACAUUGAAUUUUCAGGGUCUGCAGUGAAGAUCACAGAUUACUGUGAUUACUGUGAAUGGUUUUGCUAAAUAAGACUUGUCUAUUACUAAGUAAAAAAGCAGUUAGAAAGUGAUCCCACCACAGUAUUUGCUGCUCAGGCACUUGUGACCAGCCAUCCACCAAGGGCUGCCCUCCAGCUCCUCCACAGAUUUGAAAUUCAAAUUGCUUGGAUGGCUCCUACUGCUGUUAGGCAGCCAAAAACCUCAAACUCCUAGUCUGCAUCCAUCCAUCUUUGAAAUUAUGAAGGGUGUGUUGGUGUGGGAAGGGGAAAGAAAUACCCUGACCUAGCACUGCCAGGAGCUGGUACGUGCGGCGGGUUGGGCUGGGGUACUUGCUGCUCACUCUGUCCUCAGCUCACCUCCCUCGCAGGGCUGUGGAGCUGGCAAUCAGAGCUUAUUUUUGAACUGCUUGGGUUUUGCUGCGUAUUUGCUUGGGUUUUGCUGUGUAUUUGCAAUUUCUAGGCCAUCCUAUGGCUGCUGAGUGGAAGAUCUGCUAUGUUGAUGCACGGUUUUCCUAUAAAAAAUUAAGAAGUCUGUGUAAGUACAGCUGAAUGCGCUUGCUGGCCUAAGCCAGAUGCCAAAAGGUACUGAAGGGCACGAAACUUAAACACAGGAAUUGGGCCUGAAUGCUGCUUUGGGACUUUGAAAAUGUGACUGAAAUUACUAAGCCACUUGGGCAUUACUGAACUCGUUCCCUUGGAGCUGUGUGAAUUCUGUCUGGCCAGAUUUGUAUUUCAUUUUCGGGCAGAGGUUGGAACGUGCAUUACCGUGACCAGGAAAAAGAGAAUUGCAUUAAGUAGUGAUGGGGGCACCGGGGCUAUUUUUCUUGCUGUAUGCCAGAAGGUGUUUGAAUAAAUUGAUGACACAUUUUUGUAUUGUUCUUCA
rnacentral:lncRNA from 1 species